rnacentral:lncRNA from 1 species
CGGGGAGACAAGGGGCCUCUUCAGGGCAGGGAACACUGGACACCUGUCAUGUUCCAGGACUAUGCAAAGCACUUCAUUGCCUCAGACAGUCUUCACCAAGCCCUGUGAGGUUGCUUAGGAAACCUAAGUAAAGCCAGUUGCCCGAGGCCACCCAAUGCUAAAAUAACAGAAGUAGGAUUUGAAGCUAGAUGUUCAAUUAUAUGGGCUUUCUACUGUGCACUGAGAAAAGGGGGGGGGGCACUAGAGCAUCAUAAAAAAAUAAUAGCUUGCCUGACUGACCAAAGUCUAGCAGCCUGUGUGGCUUUACACUCACAGGCCUGUCUCUUCAUCAGAGCCGCUGCAUGGGGUUUUCAGAAUUCUAUCCUCAUCAAUACAUCCUUUUCCCAUUGGACAGUCCAGGCCCAGCUCCUGACUCUGUUCCAGGAGACAGGCUGCAAUGCAAAGAUUCUUAUUUCACUAGAAUCCACCUUGCUCUCUUCCACAGACCUUCCCAAGCAGAGCAAGGCAUAUCAGGUUAACUUGCAACCAACCCUAGGAAGUUAUGAGAACUUGUUCUGGAUUCCAUUCAUGCUCUGGUUUCUCUACACUGAUGUAUUCACUCACUCAAUAUUUACUGAGCACCUAUUGUGUGCAAGACCCUGUGACAACAGGAAUGCAAUGUUAAGACGUGGCCCCUACUCUUAAAGGAGAGGAAAUUAGAUUAGUGCGAUGCUACAGCCUGGAGCAACAGCAGCGAUCUCUGCAGUCAAGGAGAGAAAGCUGACCGUGGAUGUGGUGUGCAAGCCUCAG